rfam:Sunxiuqinia dokdonensis strain SK contig00206, whole genome shotgun sequence.
UGACGGUGGAGCAGCGACCAUUGCAAAAACGGGCGGAACCGAAAAGCCAAACGAGUAGGGAUACAU